rnacentral:rRNA from 1 species
GAGUUUGAUCCUGGCUCAGAUUGAACGCUGGCGGCAUGCCUUACACAUGCAAGUCGAACGGCAGCACGGGAGCUUGCUCCUGGUGGCGAGUGGCGAACGGGUGAGUAAUGCAUCGGAACGUAUCCUGGAGUGGGGGAUAGCGUAGCGAAAGUUACGCUAAUACCGGCAUAUUCUGUGAGCAGGAAAGCGGGGGACCUUCGGGCCUCGCGCUCUUGGAGCGGCCGAUGUCGGAUUAGCUAGUUGGUGAGGUAAAGGCUCACCAAGGCGAC